rfam:Vibrio parahaemolyticus retron element and yabA, orf560, orf218 genes for reverse transcriptase, hypothetical ATP-binding protein, hypothetical protein, partial and complete cds.
GCUCUUUAGCUUAGGACGAAUUUCGUCUAGUCGGGUGAUUAGCCAGACUCUAACUUAUUGAACGGG